rnacentral:tRNA from 1 species
UAAGAUGUAGCUCAGUGAUAGAGCAUUUGCCUAGCAUGUGUAAGGCCCUGGGUUCAGUCCCCAGCACCACAA